UUGAUCUCCAUAAAAAACAACCAGUUAAAAAAAAAAAAGACAAAGCCACACUGAGACGCUCGAUAACUGUUUGACUCCAGCUCAUCAGUUUCUGCAACGAGUCUAAAGCUCAAAUGUUAACCUGCAGAUGCCAGGUCUCCAUGUUUCCACAGGCCUGGGAUGGAGAGGGAAGAGUUAAUAGUCCAUCAGGGAGCUGAGGUCUUUGAUUGUGAUCACAUUGAUAAUUUUCCUUCCAUUAAGAUGUUGAAGCCUUGUGGCUGUUCUAAGGAUGACAGUAACACUUUAGUAAAUAAUGGUCUCUCCUGGCAUAAAAAUGCUGUAUUGUGACGGUAAGAAAGGAAAAAGAGAGAGGAGCUUGGCCUCUUACCCCUAUCUGCAUGCGCAGUGCUGCUGUCCCUGGUGCUGAUAUUUUCAUAGGCACACACCGUGGACCAUGGCAGAAUUUCCAGGAACGCUAGAUGUAUUUGUACUAUUUUUAUGUCUACUGAUUGAAAACUGAACAAAGGAAGUUCAUUUAUUCAACACGUGUUUGUGGAGCACCUGUUUAGACAAUGCAGGGGGGACUGGCUGCGUGGGAAGUGGCAACAGAAAUGGAAACUGUGAUCCUUGCUCUGGAGGUCUUUGCUGCUCCAACUGUAGUCUGAAACCCAGCACAUCGAGAGUUUAAUGAAACUCCUCCGUGAUAUGGCUGCCUCAGCAUCAAUUUUGUGCGGCCAAGCGGCCUGCAGGGGCCUUCAACUGACCCUCAUGCAAGCAGAUGACCUGGAUAACAGCCCCCAGGGUCACAAGUAAAUCUGUUCACCAUUUGAAGAGGCCAUCACAAUGCUCAGAAGAUGAUCAAAGAAGCUACUUAAGAAUAACAUGCUGCCUUUUUAAAAAACCAAUGCCCACGCUGAACUCAGAAUGGUAAUGAGCUCAGGCAGGAGCCCAACUGAGACCUCCACGGCCGUCCCACCCAGCUGGGAUAUUUGCAUUUUAUACAAACCAUUUUAUGAUGCUAUAAAUUUCACAUUUUUAUAGUUACAGGUCUUAAUCAUCAUGAAUACCAUUUCUGCACGUAUCUUUGGUAAACGGAAUUAAAAUCUCCUCAUGAUCUGAAAAUGCUAAAUUGUUAAUAGCUUUUCUAGGGCUCUGUGGCUUGUUUUGACCUCUGAUGAUUUCAUCAUUGUUUCUGCAUAUAAAAAUCACAAUUU
rnacentral:lncRNA from 1 species